rnacentral:rRNA from 1 species
AAUGAACGUUGGCGGCGUGGAUUAGGCAUGCAAGUCGUACGGGCCGCAAGGCCAGUGGCGCAAGGGUGAGUAAUGCGACGGUAACCAACCCCAUGGGUGGGUAUAGCCGCGGGAAACUGCGGGUAAUCCCCCGCGAAGCAAAGCGGACGGCAUCGAGCGUCUGCCAAAGCUCCGGCGCCGUGGGCCGGGCCGUCGUGGGAUUGGGUAGUUGGGGGGGUACCGGCCCACCAAGCCGCCGACGCCUACCGGGCAUGCGAGCAUGGCCCGGCACACUGGAACUGAGACACUGCUCAGACUCCUACGGGAGGCUGCAGUCGAGAAUCUUCGGCAAUGGGCGCAAGCCUGACCGAGCGACGCCGCGUGGAGGACGAAGGCCUUCGGGUUGUAAACUCCUGUCGAGGGGAAAGAAGGUCCGCAAGGACUUGACUGAUCCCUGGAGGAAGCACGGGCUAAGUUCGUGCCAGCAGCCGCGGUAA